CCUACGGGUGGCAGCAGUGGGGAAUAUUGGGCAAUGGACGCAACUCUGACCCAGCAACGCCGCGUGAAUGAUGAAGGUCUUCGGAUUGUAAAGUUCUGUUAUUGGGGAUGAACACAAUGGCGGUACCCCAAUAGCAAGCCACCGCUAACUAAGUACAAGCCGCCGCGGUACUACGUAGGUGGCACUCGUUAUCCGGAUUGGCUGGGCGUAAGGGGUGCGUAGGUGGUUUAGUAAGUUGGCGGUGUAAUUCCGGGGCUCAACCUCGGCGCUACCGCGAAACCUAGUAGACUCGAGUGCAGGAGAGGUAAGUGGAAUUCCUGGUGUAGCGGUGAAAUGCGUAGAGAUUAGGAGGAACAUCAGGGGCGAAGGCGACUUACUGGACUGUAACUGACGCUGAGGCACGAAAGCGUGGGGAUCAAACAGGAUUAGAUACCCCGGUAGUC
rnacentral:rRNA from 1 species